GUAUCUUGGAUUGACACUUGCUUUACCAUUGAGCUCCUGAUUAAAACGGUAGCUAGCCGUUUACCAUUAUUGUUUUCUUCCCUCGCCUUUAGCACAGCUCCAUUUUUAUUCUUGGUUUUUCCAACUCCAACUUGGCCACCACAGAUCACGGGGAUCAGACACAGCGCGGGCAGAAGAAGACUCUUCCGGAUCAGAUGACCGUGGACCUGAAGGUGCUGGAACAUCAGGAUCCAAAGCAGCAAAGCUGUUUGACGUCAGGAGAACACACAUUGCUUCCGUGGCUGUAGAGGGUGGAGAUAGAAGUCCUCGCUGGCAUCGAGUCCCACGCCGUACUGCGAUAGUUUGUUGCUAGCAAACCUGUCAAUAUGACAACCGACUUCAAAAUAUCAGUUACUGAAAACAGCAGGUCAAACUAGAAACAUGUGGGAGGAUUGGACAGCUUUAGUGGUGGAGGGGACCGGAGAAAUUCAUGUUCAUCACUCACCACGUUAGGUCAUCAAACGCUCCAAAAAAUUACCUCGUUGGACCUGCGUUUACAAUGUAUCCCAUUUCAGUUGGUGUAGUUGUUGGUUUAGCUUUCUGUAACUUUGUAGUAAGUACUGUCUGCAUGUGUAGACGCAUAUUGCGUCAUGAUUGCAAGCUGUCCGGAUAUCUUUUCCAACUGUCCCAUUGUCUGGUUUAAAUGUCCAUUCUAGAAUGUCCUUCUAGCCAAUCAGAAACAAGUAUUCAACAAUUCUGUAGUAUAAUGUACUAUACUGUACUAUAUUGUGCUAUACUGUACUGUACUAUAUUAUACUGUACUAUACUGUACUGUGUUGAUCCAGACUAUAGUCCUCCUGCUGUGUGGUGGUCAGAGCAGGGAACCAGAUUAGAGUCCUAGUGUGGUGUGUGGUGGUCAGAGCAGGGAACCAGAUUAGAGUCCUCGUGCUGUGUGGUGGUCAGAGCAGGGAACCAGAUUAGAGUCCUAGUGUGGUGUGUGGUGGUCAGAGCAGGGAACCAGAUUAGAGUCCUAG
rnacentral:lncRNA from 1 species